AACAUGAAGCAGACAUGCUUGAUGAAGAUGCCAUGAAGAGGGAAACAGGAAGACGGAGUUAUCUGAGAAAAGGUCUGCAUUAGGGAGAAAAUGGAGCCAUGUCUUUUCAAGAACCAGGGAACCAGACAGAUUAUUCUUCUAGCUCUGGCAUUUGAUACCUACAGAGCUCAUAUUUCAGCUUUUACCAAGGUUAUAGGAACGCCUAAAGCUGAGACCUUUGACUGCUGGAAUUGAGCGUUGCCAGACUGAUUGGAACCACCUGUAUUCCAUUUCAAAGUCCUCCUGGAAAAGAUUCAUUAGCUUAAGUCAGCAGUUCAAUUAAUUGGAGCUAUAAGUGGAAUAACAGAGAUGUACAAUCAAUGAAAACUACCUGGAAGUAAAGUAAACAACCUGUGAUUUCUGUAUUUCUGUAUAAAGGAGAACGUUACCAAAAGAAUGUGUCCUGGGACAAAGAUCCAGAAUUGAGAAGAGAAAUGACAAAAAUAAGGAGGGUCAACAAAACCCACAUCACUUGAAUAAUUAUCUGCUAAGAUCAUUAAUCCUAGAGUGACACCAGGGUAUUCAGCAAAGAUUCCUCGAUCCAUCAACUCUGAAAGAGGACUACUGGAUUUGGGGUAGAAUAGAGGAUAAAUAAAUGGACAAGAAGAGUUGGAAGAGUUGACCUGUGGAGGAUAAAACCUAGACCCAAGGUUUCUAUGUAUGUGGAAUUAAGAGGCAGGUGCACAAAGUCCUAAAAUUGAAUAAAGGUCACUCAGAGAGACACCUGGA
rnacentral:lncRNA from 10 species